rnacentral:rRNA from 1 species
AGAGUUUGAUCCUGGCUCAGAAUAAACGCUGGCGGCGUGCCUAACACAUGCAAGUCGCACGAGAACUCUUUAGCUUGCUAAAGAUAGUAAAGUGGCGCACGGGUGAGUAACGCGUGGGUAAUCUACCUUCGAAUCGGGGAUAACAUUGCGAAAGCGAUGCUAAUACCGGAUAAUAUUGAUUUAACUUCGGUUUUUUCAAUCAAAGAUGGCCUCUAUACAUAAGCUAUUGUUUGAAGAUGAGCUCGCGUACCAUUAGCUUGUUGGUGGGGUAAUGGCCUACCAAGGCUACGAUGGUUAGCUGGUCUGAGAGGAUGAUCAGCCACACUGGAACUGACACACGGUCCAGACUCCUACGGGAGGCAGCAGUGAGGAAUUUUGCGCAAUGGGGGAAACCCUGACGCAGCAACGCCGCGUGAGUGAUGAAGGCUUUCGGGUCGUAAAACUCUGUCAAGUGGGAAGAACCUGUCCUGUGCCAAUACCACAGGACACUGACGGUACCACUGAAGGAAGCACCGGCUAACUCCGUGCCAGCAGCCGCGGUAAUACGGGGGGUGCAAGCGUUAUUCGGAAUCAUUGGGCGUAAAGGGCGCGUAGGCGGCCUUGUAAGUCAGAUGUGAAAGCCCGGGGCUUAACCCCGGAAGUGCAUUUGAAACUACAAGACUUGAGUAUGGGAGAGGGAAGUGGAAUUCCUGGUGUAGAGGUGAAAUUCGUAGAUAUCAGGAGGAACAUCAGUGGCGAAGGCGACUUCCUGGACCAAUACUGACGCUAAGGCGCGAAGGCGUGGGUAGCAAACAGGAUUAGAUACCCUGGUAGUCCACGCAGUAAACGUUGAUCACUAGGUGCAGCGGGUAUUGACCCCUGCUGUGCCGUAGUUAACGCAUUAAGUGAUCCGCCUGGGGAGUACGGCCGCAAGGCUAAAACUCAAAGGAAUUGACGGGGGCCCGCACAAGCGGUGGAGCAUGUGGUUUAAUUCGACGCAACGCGAAGAACCUUACCUGGGCUUGAACUGUAGGUAUUAGCUACCUGAAAGGGCUAGUGAUUCUUCUUUGAAGAAACCUAUAGAGGUGCUGCAUGGCUGUCGUCAGCUCGUGUCGUGAGAUGUUGGGUUAAGUCCCGCAACGAGCGCAACCCUUGCCAUUAGUUGUCAGCGAGUUAAGUCGGAUACUUUAAUGGGACUGCCGGUGACGAGCCGGAGGAAGGUGGGGAUGACGUCAAGUCAGCAUGGCCUUUAUGUCCAGGGCUACACACGUGCUACAAUGGGUGGUACAGAGGGAAGCUAAGCCGUGAGGUGGAGCGGAUCCAAAAAGCCAUCCCCAGUUCGGAUUGGAGUCUGCAAUUCGACUCCAUGAAGUUGGAAUUGCAAGUAAUCGCGGAUCAGCAUGCCGCGGUGAAUAUGUUCCCGGGCCUUGUACACACCGCCCGUCACACCAUGGGAGUUGAUUAUACCCGACGUCGCUGGGCUAACCAUUUAUGGGAGCAGGCGCCUAAGG